rnacentral:rRNA from 1 species
GGACGAACGCUGGCGGCGUGCUUACCCCAUGCAAGUCGAACGGAAAGGCCCUGCUUUUGUGGGGUGCUCGAGUGGCGAACGGGUGAGUAACACGUGAGUAACCUGCCCUUGACUUUGGGAUAACUUCAGGAAACUGGGGCUAAUACCGGAUAGGAGCUCCUGCUGCAUGGUGGGGGUUGGAAAGUUUCGGCGGUUGGGGAUGGACUCGCGGCUUAUCAGCUUGUUGGUGGGGUAGUGGCUUACCAAGGCUUUGACGGGUAGCCGGCCUGAGAGGGUGACCGGCCACAUUGGGACUGAGAUACGGCCCAGACUCCUACGGGAGGCAGCAGUGGGGAAUAUUGCACAAUGGGCGGAAGCCUGAUGCAGCAACGCCGCGUGCGGGAUGACGGCCUUCGGGUUGUAAACCGCUUUCGCCUGUGACGUAGCGUGAGUGACGGUAAUGGGUAAAGAAGCACCGGCUAACUACGUG